ensembl:snoRNA small nucleolar RNA SNORA42/SNORA80 family
GCAUGGCUCUGGAUUUAUGGCGGGUCUGGUUCCAUAGAUCCCUCCAUAGUGUACUCCAUGCUAAAGCAAGCUGCUACUCCGAACCAUUGGCCAGUCUGGCUUGUAGUAGCCCUGGCUACUGAAGUGAGUGGCACAUGU